UCUUCCAGACACUUUGAAAAUUAAAUCAAUAUUUGAUGUCUACGAAUUUCCUCGCCAUUCAAAACAUUCAUAUUCAAAAUUUUACAUUUCCGUCUUUUGACCGGCAGUGUCAAAUGCUUAAGCGCAGUCUCCAACCAAUGUUAGGCCUGGCGCCCUGUUAACUGUAACAGUGACGCCCACGCCGACGUCGACGUCAAUGAGAGGCGAACGGUAUUUUUGGAAAGCCAUUGAGAGCGAACACGUUUCAAUGUAGUUGUAGCGUAGUAACCGUUCGCGAGAGAGUGAGCGCUAGAGCUUUAAGGACAAUGACGUCAACAGUGCGUGCCUGUGCACCCACACAUUGCAGGUGUUUGUGUAAUAGCAUCUAUAAAAAUGUGCGAGCUGAAGAUGGGAUUUUAUUGGCAACACCUGAACUCACACUUAAAAAGCAGCUGUGUUUCACUGGAAGAAACUUCGCUGUUUAUAGGGCGGGAUUUUAAAACAAUGUGUGGAAAUAGUAAUAAUUUUUUUGCACACAUUCUUCCCAUCUGCUACGUCAUAUUUUGCAAAAAGCAAUUUCGCCCACGCGUCUCUUCUCUCUCCUACACAAUCAACAUCACUUUCUCCGUCUCUCAUUCUCUCGUUCUACCUCUCUCUUUCGCACUUUCUCCUCUGUGCAAUCGAUAAAUGCGUGGUAGGAUGUCAGCUCACUGCGCAGCUUUCGCCUCUGAUGACGUCAAUGGAAAAAGCUCAAUCCAAAACCAAAACAACAACAGUGCCUCCCUUAGGAGACAAACCCCUCCUUCUUAGCAGAGGAAAAUUGACAAAAGCCGGCAAAAGCUUGACAGGCGUCAGGAAAAUUGGAUUAUAGUAAAGCUGAGAAAAGAGAGAGAGAGAGAGAGAGAGCGGGACAGACUAAGAAUCCUUCUGGCGUUGGCGUUGGCUAAUGGCCCUUGAAAUGGCAAAAGUUUGUGAUGCGGGCGGAUCCAGAAUAUAUAUCCAUAUAACAUAAUA